AGGCUCCCCCUCAAGGUGCUCAGGAACUUUUACACCUGCACCACUGAGAGCAUCUUGAGUGGGAGCAUCACCACAUGAGACACAGAGUCCCCAUCCACCUCCAAGGUUAAUCUGAGUGAUUCCCCUGUGGAGCUAGAGGGUUGCGUGAAGAUGAGGGAAGACACCAAUGGAAUCCCAGCAGCUUACAUAUCCCGGCUGAAGGAGGACACUGAGUGAGGGCUGUUCACACUCGUGCAGCUCUACAAGGGUUAGGUUCAGGUCAGGAGGCGAAAGGUGAUGAAAUCUAAUCAUAGGUUAUUUUACCCACCUGAAGGAGUGCUCCUGGCUAUGUCAGUGGGGCUCUGCCAACUCCACAGGCCUUUUUCCGGGUCGUUGUGUGGUACCCUGUCAGAGUGUGGACGAACUCCUUCACUCCUUACAUGCAGUUUUGCUGCCAUACCCGGGUAUAACUUAUUACAAUGUAUGUAGAUGUGAAAGGAAAUAAAGAGCACAGAAAGUCAUAUACUGCUACUGACCUUGGCUGAAGCCUUUGUGCUUCUUAUGUGCAGAGCUGUCUUUGUGCUGCGUAUUUCAGAACUCACAACCCUCUUUGGUUUAGGUCAUAUGUGUCAAGAGCUGAGAGAUCUCUGUUUUCUUUGUACACUGUGGUUGCUCUGACUUUCUAACAGGGCACUCUCUUUGCUGUUCUACUGGAGAGUGUUUCUGGGGUUUUACACGGACACAGCUCAUUGUUUUGGCCUCAUUUUGCUGUUUUAAUUUUAUUUUCAUGCUCUGGGCUUUGCCAUCAACAGAUUUUUUUGUCGUUUCUUUCUUUCUGAGGUUUGCACAACCUACUUGAUGCCCUCUGUGGGCAUUUGAUGUGGGGGAAUGUAAUAAGCGCUCUACAUCCUUGCGCUUGGCUGAAGCCUUUGUGCUUCUUAUGUGCAGAGCUGUCUUUGUGCUGCGUAUUUCAGAACUCACAACCCUCUUUGGUUUAGGUGAACGACUGGCUAUGAGCUCUUUUACCUUCUCAUUGAUGUUUACUGCUCCAUCAAACAGUUCAACAUCAAAUGAGCCAUCUUUGCUCUUUUCAACUAUGAGGGCUCUCACUUGCUUGUUGAGAAUUGUGUCCUUGAGCCAUUCCUUGACAUCGGCAUAGAGCUCUUCCCUGGAAACUGAAGCAAGGCUACAUCUCACAGCCUG